GGGAAUGUAGCUCAGUGAUAGAGUGGUUGCCUAGCAGGCAAUGAACCUGGGUUCAACCCCCAGUACUGCAG
rnacentral:tRNA from 1 species